rnacentral:misc_RNA from 1 species
UCCAUCAGCAUCAGAAUUUCACAAUGACUGAAAUCAAAUUUUGGUUCAGAAUAGUUUAUUUCAUCAAACCACUGUUUUCAAACUUUCUCAGAUCAACAAUAAAAGCAAACGUAACAGCAGCAUAGUUUACAGCCACCAACCAACCCACCAACAAUUCAAAUUCAAAUCUAUAUCCAAACUAAUGUGUAAUUCGUUCAUUGUAGCAUUCUUAGUUUCGACUUGGGUCAGUGAAGAAGCUGUUGAUCGAUGGCAUAAUUUCUGGGGACUUGUUGCGCACGAAUUUCCUCAGAAAAUGUUCAGCAUACUUCUCUCCCUCAGCAAAGUUAUCCAGGACUCCAGCGGCUCUAUUCUCCUUGGUCACUCUGACUUCAGGAUUGAUGCAGAUGUUACGGACUAACUGAAAUCCGCAGAUUCCGACGGCCACUCCUACCGCCGCGAAAAGUGGGUAAACCUCAGGCCUGAGCCAUCGACUAAGGUUGGAAGAAGGAGCCAUUGAUGAAUAUCGGCGAAGGAAACGGAUCGUAGAGGCUGAGACGCGGCUGAAUCGGAGAGUUGUG